CAGCCGCCGCGGUAAUACGAAUGGUGCAAGCGUUAAUCGGAAUUACUGGGCGUAAAGCGUGCGUAGGCGGUGAGUUAAGUCUGCUGUGAAAUCCCCGGGCUCAACCUGGGAAUGGCAGUGGAUACUGGCUCGCUAGAGUGUGUCAGAGGAUGGUGGAAUUCCCGGUGUAGCGGUGAAAUGCGUAGAUAUGCGGAGGAACACCGAUGGCGAAGGCAGCCCCCUGGGCCAAUACUGACGCUCAUGCACGAAAACGUGGGGAGCAAACAGGAUUAGAGACCCCUGUAGUCCCUGUCUCUUAUAC
rnacentral:rRNA from 1 species